UGGGGAAUAUUGCACAAUGGGGGAAACCCUGAUGCAGCAACGCCGCGUGAAGGAAGACGGUUUUCGGAUUGUAAACUUCUGUUCUUAGUGAAGAUAAUGACGGUAGCUAAGGAGCAAGCCACGGCUAACUACGUGCCAGCAGCCGCGGUAAUACGUAGGUGGCAAGCGUUGUCCGGAAUUACUGGGUGUAAAGGGAGCGUAGGCGGGAAGCCAAGUCAGCUGUGAAAACUACGGGCUUAACCUGUAGACUGCAGUUGAAACUGGUUUUCUUGAGUGAAGUAGAGGUUGGCGGAAUUCCGAGUGUAGCGGUGAAAUGCGUAGAUAUUCGGAGGAACACCGGUGGCGAAGGCGGCCAACUGGGCUUUAACUGACGCUGAGGCUCGAAAGUGUGGGGAGCAAACAGGAUUAGAUACCC
rnacentral:rRNA from 1 species